AUUGAACGCUGGCGGCAUGCUUUACACAUGCAAGUCGAACGGUAACAGGCCGCAAGGUGCUGACGAGUGGCGAACGGGUGAGUAAUGCAUCGGAACGUGCCCAGUCGUGGGGGAUAACGCAGCGAAAGUUGCGCUAAUACCGCAUACGAUCUAUGGAUGAAAGCGGGGGACCGUAAGGCCUCGCGCGAUUGGAGCGGCCGAUGUCAGAUUAGGUAGUUGGUGGGGUAAAGGCUCACCAAGCCGACGAUCUGUAGCUGGUCUGAGAGGACGACCAGCCACACUGGGACUGAGACACGGCCCAGACUCCUACGGGAGGCAGCAGUGGGGAAUUUUGGACAAUGGGCGCAAGCCUGAUCCAGCAAUGCCGCGUGCAGGAAGAAGGCCUUCGGGUUGUAAACUGCCUUUGUACGGAACGAAACGGUCCUGGUUAAUACCCGGGGCUAAUGACGGUACCGUAAGAAUAAGCACCGGCUAACUUCGUGCCAGCCGCCGCCGUAAUAC
rnacentral:rRNA from 1 species